GGAGACAUCAGAGGAACCUAUAAACACAGAACAGCAAGAUCAAAAACAAACAAAAACAUUUAAAUGGGUUUUAAAAUUCAUGUAGUGGCAGCCCUCUCCAAUGACGUCAUCCCUAGUGGUCAAGGCUGAGAACCAGAUCAUAAUGAUCCUCUUUCCCUUCCCUUUAUAUAUCACACAAUAUUAUGCUCAUUGAAUGCUACUGAGCCACGAAGAGCACUUUUAUUGCCUGCCAACCAAGCAACAGGGAAAGAGAAUUAACUAUUUUUAAUUAUCAUGUGCGUGUAAAGGACAAACACAUCCUGCAGUCUUUACAAGAAGUGAAUAGUAGAACUGCAACACAUAGCCAGAAAGAGAGACAAGGGAUUAGAGGCAUUGUGUAGGCUGAAAGCAAGGAGGGGACCAGACAAAAUUAGACGUGUGUUUAGGUGCUGCUGUCCAGUAAAUCACAGAGACAGUGCUGGGUAGGGUUGUGGGUGCAGAACAAGCAUUAAAGCUUGUGUUCCAUCAGUCACUGGAGCAGAGGGCUCCUACUGAAUAGGGAAGAAGGAAGAAUAAAGAUGAAAAGGCAGGGAUAAACAGAUCACUAAAAGUGGCCAAGGGUGUGAGAACGGUUGGGUGCGGCUCUGGAGGCUUGACUGGCACAGAGUUAUGAGGGUGGAGGAAGAGCCCAGAAGCUGUUUUAGGGAGCCAUUCCUAAGGAUAGCAGAAGGGACUGGCUUAUCAAUAUCUUUUAAUUCAGCUGGAAGGCAGCGGAAGCAAUGGAACAGCAGAACCAGAGAAGCAGUUGGAGAAAAGGAGGAACACUGGAUACAGACCCUCUCCGAUGUUCCUUAACCUCCUGGACAUGUGUCCAGUGCAAGUCGGCCUUUAUUUCCAUGGGGUCAAUAGGGGAGAGGUCUUGCUGGGAGAGCUGGAGGUUCCUGGCUGAAUAGAGGAGCAUGGGAUGGAGGAAGCAGAAGAGCAAAGGACAGACAGCACCCAAGUGCCAUCUGCACCCUGAGUUUCCACAAUCUCCACAUGCUCCACUUCCUGACCCUUCAACUUAGCGUGAAUCUUGACGGCCUCUUUCCAUGGCACCCCACCCAGAUCUGAGGGGGGGAGGCACUGCCCUGGCUCCUCCUCUUCU